rnacentral:rRNA from 1 species
UAAAAAAUUAUUUAUUUUAGGUAGUAACAGAUUUCUUGAAACCUAAAGAAUUUGGCGGUAUUUUAAAUAAUUAGAGGAACCUGUUAAAUAAAUGAUAAUCCACAACAUAUCUUACCUAAAUUUAGUUUGUAUACCGUUGUUUUUAGAUUAUGUUUAAAAAUUAUGAUCAAAAUUAAUUAAUUUUUAUAAAUCAAAUCAAGGUGCAGUAUAUUUAGGUCUUAAUGGGUUACAAUAUAUUUUUAAUAUAUAACGGAUGAAUUAUGAAAAUAUUUUUGAAGGUGGAUUUAAAAGUAAUUUGAAAUUAAAAUGUUCAGGUGAAUAAAAAUUUAAAAUAUGC